rnacentral:rRNA from 1 species
UACAGAGGGGGCAAGCGUUAUUCGGAAUUACUGGGCGUAAAGGGCGCGUAGGCGGUUCUUUAAGUCGGAUGUGCAAUCCCCGAGCUCAACUUGGGAACUGCAUCCGAAACUGGGGAGCUAGAGUGCUGGAGAGGGUGGUGGAAUUCCACGUGUAGCGGUGAAAUGCGUAGAGAUGUGGAGGAACACCAGUGGCGAAGGCGGCCACCUGGACAGUAACUGACGCUGAGGCGCGAAAGUGUGGGUAG